AAUUAAAUUGAUUUUGAUGUUCUGUGGG
rnacentral:piRNA from 1 species